ensembl:lncRNA
CUGAGAUUAUCAGUGAUCUCACAGUAAAUUACACAUUUAUUUGGAAUGCGUUACAGGAUUAAGGUUACAGACUUAAGAAUUGAUCCAAAUUCCUUUAUGUAAAUGGAAAAAGAAAAUUAUCUUAAUUGUUGUCUUAAAAGGAAACUGAAUUUAGUUUUCAGUCUGUAUGCUUAUGUGAUCUCAGUUUAAUUCUGCUUCAGCUUUUUUUAGCGUAUGGCAUCACCUAAACAGGCCCUCAGAUAUGAUCUCACAAACAGCCUUCCUUACUUUUGCUAAGCUACAGGUCAGCUGGUCUCCUGCUGCAUACUCACGUUCUCACAUCUGAAUUCAACCCUGAGAUCAAAGCACCAGCACUUUGUCCCACACAGUUCCGAAUGCUCUCGGCUUUUACUGGAUCCAGAAUUAACGUUCUCAGAAAUCCAUUUUGCACAGCAGGACAUUGGAAGCAGCGUAUCACAUCCAUAACAUCUUUGUUUCUUCUCUGAAGCAACAGAUGAUAACAACUGUGGUGCACUGUUGUCAUGGUUUUUAACACCAGAAUCUGCAAAAUACGAACAUGGAACAACCAUUCAAGAGAAAAUAAAAAUGUUAAAUUUGAAUGUGUAGCACUUUUCAGACUGUAAGUUUGCAAGCUGAUUCAUUCAGGACAUUUUGUUUUGUUAUUUUGUCUGCAGAAAAAUCACAGCAAUUGUUGUGUAUUUACUCUUCUAUAACCAAGCUGACUUAAGCACACAACUGUGUGCACUAUCGUGCUGAACAUACUGGAUUGAGUCAUUUACACACAUGCAGCUGCUGGCAUGAAUAAGGGCUAGAUUUAACUUGCUCUGUUUAAUUCAUUGGCUGAACACUGAAAAUUGUUGGCAUGGAUUUUUCUCAGGAAGUUCAAACUUACACAAGCAGAAGAAAAACACUGCAAAUGAGAUGCUGCUGUGUGCAAAAAAUCAUCCUGGGUAAAACUUUAAACCCUAAAAAUAAAUCCAAUGUGCAGUUUGCCCAAAUAGGCUUUCCUACUCAACUCUGAAGGUUUAAAGCAUUUCUUAAUCAUGUACUGUACACAGUGCUAAGCAGGGAAGUUUUCAGUUAUUUCUAAAACAUGUUAUUCUAAGGCUAUAUUUGAAUCUUCCAUAUUUAUGUGAUGAGGGGUUAUGUCAUAAAGUUAAUCAUUCCCAGGAUGCUAGCAUUCAGGGUAAUGAAAAACUUCUUGUGCAAGCAGUCAUUAAUCAGUGCGUAUAACAUUGCAUAAUGCUUUCUGAAGCAUGUGUUAUGUGAUCAGAGUACAAGGCUGUACAAUACAGCAAAGUGUUUAUGCCAUAUGCUGACCUUUUCUAAAGCAGAAACGGAGCCAUGUGAUGUGCUGCUCUUGCCAGCAGUUACUUAUUGCCAAUAAUUAAGUUUGAUGACAUGAAGAAACACAAACUUGUAUUCCUUUAGAAUUAUAAAAGGAAGCUUUGAAGUUUUUGGCACUGUAAAUCACAGAGAUUGCCAUUGUGUCUUGGAUACUCUACCGUUGUCCAUUAUAGGCACUGCCCAUCAAAACUGGAAUUGAGUGCCCUGUUCAAGUGGUUACUGGCAUUUGUGUAAAGGAAAACACGCUUCAUCGUUACAG